rnacentral:rRNA from 1 species
CACAAGCGGUGGAGCAUGUGGUUUAAUUUCGAAAGCAACGCGAAGGAACCUUACCAGGCCUUGACAUGCAGAGAACUUCCAGAGAUGGAUUGGUGCCUUCGGGAACUCUGACACAGGUGCUGCAUGGCUGUCGUCAGCUCGUGUCGUGAGAUGUUGGGUUAAGUCCCGUAACGAGCGCAACCCUUGUCCUUAGUUACCAGCACGUUAUGGUGGGCACUCUAAGGAGACUGCCGGUGACAAACCGGAGGAAGGUGGGGGAUGACGUCAAGUCAUCAUGGCCCUUACGGCCUGGGCUACACACGUGCUACAAUGGUCGGUACAAAGGGUUGCCAAGCCGCGAGGUGGAGCUAAUCCCAUAAAACCGAUCGUAGUCCGGAUCGCAGUCUGCAACUCGACUGCGUGAAGUCGGAAUCGCUAGUAAUCGUGAAUCAGAAUGUCACGGUGAAUACGUUCCCGGGCCUU